CCCCUAGCGGCCAUUUGAAGAAACCAGCAUUACCAGCUAACAUUAACUCAAGCGUUCGGCUGGAUAACAAGUUAGCUAGUCGCUGUUGUAUCGUAAUACGCAUUUAUAUAAGAAAAGCAUAUAAACUUAGCGGCUCUUGAAAAUAAAAUGUGAAAAAACAACGUCCAGACGACCUUCACUCAACGUUAGCUAACGUUGAGCUAGCUAACGCUAAUAGGGAAAGCUAACGAUGCAAAACAACUUUCUGUUGGACAGUGGGUGACCAUCAGCGCUCUCAAGUGUUCCUGAGGUCUCAUUAGGAUGCUGGACGCCUGCCUGCCGAUUCACUGUAAGCUGGUGUAGAUCAUACGGUCUAUGGUGUAGAUAAGGUCAUCAAUGGAAGUCCCUAAAUGCAGAAUUAAAUGCAGAGAUGAACAGAACAAUCCAAGUUCUGUCACAGAGGCAGACCAGAAGUUGGGUCAUACUCACAGACUUCAGCAGAGCGCAGAUCCUCAAGGCCUUUUACAGCGCAGGAGUAGCUUUCAGAAGAGUUUUUGGGAACUACAAAUGUUUUCUUCUCUACUGCAUGUCUGCUCUUGUACCAAAUGAAGUCACUCAAAGGACAGCUUGUGUUACAGAAUUACCUGUGACAACCAACAUCACUCCAGGAAAGUCAGACUCUUUCCAUUUCUUUUCCUGUUGUUCGAGUCUGAAUGUAUAUUCUGCUGAGUCAUUCUUCGUCAGGUUAGUGAUCGUCAGGAUGUGGUGAUUGUUCUUGUCAUGAUACUCCACACGACCGGCAACCUCACACAGUUUUGUUGCUUUAUUCCCCCUG